UACGUAGGAUCCAAGCGUUAUCCGGAAUUACUGGGCGUAAAGCGUACGUAGGUGGAGACUUAAGUGAGAUGCGAAAUCUAGCGGCUCAACCGUUUAGACUGUGUCUCAUACUGGGUUUCUUGAGGUUGGCAGAGGCAAGUGGAAUUUCCGGUGUAGCAGUGAAAUGCGUAGAUAUCGGAAGGAACACCAAUGGCGAAGGCAGCUUGCUGGGCCACACCUGACACUGAGGUACGAAAGCGUGGGGAGCGAACAGG
rnacentral:rRNA from 2 species